GACGAACGCUGGCGGCGUGCUUAACACAUGCAAGUCGAACGGAAAGGCCCUGCUUUUGUGGGGUGCUCGAGUGGCGAACGGGUGUGUAACACGUGAGUAACCUGCCCUUGACUUUGGGAUAACUUCAGGAAACUGGGGCUAAUACCGGAUAGGAGCUCCUGCUGCAUGGUGGGGGUUGGAAAGUUUCGGCGGUUGGGGAUGGACUCGCGGCUUAUCAGCUUGUUGGUGGGGUAGUGGCUUACCAAGGCUUUGACGGGUAGCCGGCCUGAGAGGGUGACCGGCCACAUUGGGACUGAGAUACGGCCCAGACUCCUACGGGAGGCAGCAGUGGGGAAUAUUGCACAAUGGGCGGAAGCCUGAUGCAGCAACGCCGCGUGCGGGAUGACGGCCUUCGGGUUGUAAACCGCUUUCGGCUGUGACGAAGCGUGAGUGACGGUAAUGGGUAAAGAAGCGCCGGCUAACUACGUG
rnacentral:rRNA from 1 species